UGGCCUUCUUGGCCUUUUGGCUAAGAUCAAGUAUAGUACCUGUUCUUACUAGUUUAAUAUCUGAUAGGUCCUCUACAUGAUGAUAAUAUAUUAAGUGGAUUUUGGAGCUGGGAGAUGGAAUGGGAGCUUGCUCUGUCCAUUUUGUGUGUCAACCCAGUACUGCAGUACUUCCAGGAACAGUACAUCCUAU
ensembl:snRNA U2 U2 spliceosomal RNA